rnacentral:misc_RNA from 1 species
UCCGGUUUGUCACCGGCAGUCCCAUUAGAGUGCCCAACUGAAUGUAGCAACUAAUGGCAAGGGUUGCGCUCGUUGCGGGACUUAACCCAACAUCUCACGACACGAGCUGACGACAGCCAUGCAGCACCUGUGUCCAGGUUCCCUUUCGGGCACACCCCCAUCUCUGGAGGCUUCCUGGCAUGUCAAGGGUAGGUAAGGUUUUUCGCGUUGCAUCGAAUUAAUCCACAUAAUCCACCGCUUGUGCGGGUCCCCGUCAAUUCCUUUGAGUUUUAACCUUGCGGCCGUACUCCCCAGGCGGUCAACUUCACGCGUUAGCUUCGUUACCAAGGAAUUGCUUCCCCAACAACCAGUCGACAUCGUUUAGGGCGUGGACUAC